UCCGGGGUUGGCGAAAUUGGUAAACGCGCCUAUGAUACAGGUAGGUUCGACUAAAUGUCUAUUGGAGGUUCGAGUCCUUCACCCCGCAU
rnacentral:tRNA from 1 species